rnacentral:rRNA from 1 species
AGGUUGGGCACUCUAGCGAGACUGCGGUAAUAACCGGAGAAGUGGGGAUGACGUCAAAUCAUCAUGCCCCUUAUGACCUGGGCUACACACGUGCUACAAUGGUUGGUACAACGAGUUGCGAGUCGGUGACGGCGAGCUAAUCUCUUAAAGCCAAUCUCAGUUCGGAUUGUAGGCUGCAACUCGCCUACAUGAAGUCGGAAUCGCUAGUAAUCGCGGAUCAGCACGCCGCGGUGAAUACGUUCCCGGGCCUU